CCUACGGGUGGCAGCAGUCGAGAGGCUUCGGCAAUGGGGGAAACCCUGACCGAGCGACGCCGCGUGGGGGAUGAAGGCCCUUGGGUUGUAAACCCCUUUUGUUCGGGAAGAAGUGCGAUCAGGUGAACAAUCUGGUCGUUUGACGGUACCGGACGAAUAAGCUCCGGCUAACUCCGUGCCAGCAGCCGCGGUAACACGGGGGGAGCAAGCGUUGUUCGGAAUCACUGGGCGUAAAGGGCGUGUAGGCGGUCAGGUAAGUGUGAUGUGAAAUCCCUCGGCUCACCCGAGGACCGGCAUCGCAUACUGCUUGGCUUGAGUACGGGAGAGGAUGUGGGAAUUCCUGGUGUAGCGGUGAAAUGCGUAGAUAUCAGGAGGAACACCGGUGGCGAAGGCGCACAUCUGGCCCGAUACUGACGCUGAGGCGCGAAAGCUAGGGGAGC
rnacentral:rRNA from 1 species